UAGGAGCCAUAGGGACCAUACUCCAAGUG
rnacentral:piRNA from 1 species